GAGUGUUUUCUGACUUGGUUGACUGUUGCAGGAUUUUUGAACAGGAUUCCAAAGCCAGAGCAGAGAGCUAUCAGCAGAGGGUUGAUAGGAAAGGCAAGAAUCAGAAUGAUCGUGGAAAACCGUAUGCAGUUGGCAAAGGUUUUCAGAAGCAGGGUGUGAUGAAGAGGCCUAGUGGGGGAGACUCUAGUGCUCCUGUUAAGUGUUAUAGAUGUG
rnacentral:lncRNA from 1 species